UCCGCCAGGAGCUUAUAUCUGGGACAGCCCCCACUGACUUAUAGGUGGAUCAGCCGAUCAGGAGCUCAUGUCUGGGACAGUCCGCUAGGAGCUUAUGCCUGGGACAGUCUCUCAUGAACUUUCGUACGUGGGAUAGCCGGUCAGGAGCUCAUCCUGGGACAGCCUUGAAGGGCUUUUAAGUGAAAAUUGAUUCGAAUGAUAAUUGAGGUAUAGACUUGGUUAGUCUAGAAUCAAAAAGAAAAAGGUAAAAAUCAUGUGAUUAUGAAAAG
rnacentral:lncRNA from 1 species